rnacentral:rRNA from 1 species
CGCGCAGGCGGAUCUGCUAGUCUGUCUUAAAGGUUCGGGGCUUAACCCCGUGAUGGGAUGGAAACUACAGAUCUAGAGUAUCGGAGAGGAAAGUGGAAUUCCUAGUGUAGCGGUGAAAUGCGUAGAUAUUAGGAAGAACACCAGUGGCGAAGGCGACUUUCUGGACGAAAACUGACGCUGAGGCGCGAAAGCCAGGGGAGCAACG